UACGUAGGGUGCGAGCGUUAAUCGGAAUUACUGGGCGUAAAGCGUGCGCAGGCGGUUUUGCAAGCCGGAUGUGAAAUCCCCGGGCUUAACCUGGGAAUGGCAUUUGGGACUGCAAGGCUGGAGUGCGGCAGAGGAGACUGGAAUUCCUGGUGUAGCAGUGAAAUGCGUAGAUAUCAGGAGGAACACCGAUGGCGAAGGCAGGUCUCUGGGCUGACGCUGACGCUCAUGCACGAAAGCGUGGGGAGCAAACAGG
rnacentral:rRNA from 1 species